rnacentral:rRNA from 1 species
ACCGGGAUUGCCUUAGUAACGGCGAGUGAAGCGGCAAAAGCUCAAAUUUGAAAUCUGGUACCUUCGGUGCCCGAGUUGUAAUUUGGAGAGGGCAACUUUGGGGCCGUUCCUUGUCUAUGUUCCUUGGAACAGGACGUCAUAGAGGGUGAGAAUCCCGUGUGGCGAGGAGUGCGGUUCUUUGUAAAGUGCCUUCGAAGAGUCGAGUUGUUUGGGAAUGCAGCUCUAAGUGGGUGGUAAAUUCCAUCUAAAGCUAAAUAUUGGCGAGAGACCGAUAGCGAACAAGUACAGUGAUGGAAAGAUGAAAAGAACUUUGAAAAGAGAGUGAAAAAGUACGUGAAAUUGUUGAAAGGGAAGGGCAUUUGAUCAGACAUGGUGUUUUGUGCCCUCUGCUCCUUGUGGGUAGGGGAAUCUCGCAUUUCACUGGGCCAGCAUCAGUUUUGGUGGCAGGAUAAAUCCAUAGGAAUGUAGCUUGCCUCGGUAAGUAUUAUAGCCUGUGGGAAUACUGCCAGCUGGGACUGAGGACUGCGACGUAAGUCAAGGAUGCUGGCAUAAUGGUUAUAUGCCGCCCGUCUUGAA